GGGGGUGUGGCUCCGAAGUAGAGCACUUGCCUGGCAUGUACGAUAUCCUGGGUUCAAUCCCCAGUACCACAA
rnacentral:tRNA from 1 species